AGUGAACGCUGGCGGUAGGCCUAACACAUGCAAGUCGAACGGCAGCACAGUAAGAGCUUGCUCUUACGGGUGGCGAGUGGUGGACGGGUGAGGAAUAUAUCGGAAUCUACUUUUUCGUGGGGGAUAACGUAGGGAAACUUACGCUAAUACCGCAUACGACCUACGGGUGAAAGCAGGGGAUCUUCGGACCUUGCGCGAUUGAAUGAGCCGAUGUCGGAUUAGCUAGUUGGCGGGGUAAAGGCCCACCAAGGCGACGAUCCGUAGCUGGUCUGAGAGGAUGAUCAGCCACACUGGAACUGAGACACGGUCCAGACUCCUACGGGAGGCAGCAGUGGGGAAUAUUGGACAAUGGGCGCAAGCCUGAUCCAGCCAUACCGCGUGGGUGAAGAAGGCCUUCGGGUUGUAAAGCCCUUUUGUUGGGAAAGAAAAGCAGCAGGUUAAUACCCCGCUGUUCUGACGGUACCCAAAGAAUAAGCACCGGCUAACUUCGUG
rnacentral:rRNA from 1 species